ACUCCUACGGGAGGCAGCAGUGGGGAAUAUUCCGCAAUGGGGGCAACCCUGACGGAGCAAUGCCGCGUGAGUGAAGAAGGCCCUUGGGUCGUAAAGCUCUGUUUUCGGGGACGAAGAAAGUGACGGUACCCGAGUAGGAAGCCCCGGCUAGCCACGUGCCAGCAGCCGCGGUAAUAC
rnacentral:rRNA from 1 species